AGAGUUUGAUCAUGGCUCAGAACGAACGCUGGCGGCAGGCUUAACACAUGCAAGUCGAACGCGUGUAGCAAUACACGAGUGGCGCACGGGUGAGUAACGCGUGGAUAUCUGCCUUUUGGUUCGGAAUAACCCCGGGAAACUGGGGCUAAUACCGGAUGGUUCCUUCGGGAUAAAGAUUUAUCGCCAAAAGAUGAGUCCGCGUACGAUUAGCUAGUUGGUGAGGUAAUGGCUCACCAAGGCGACGAUCGUUAGCUGGUCUGAGAGGACGAUCAGCCACACUGGGACUGAGACACGGCCCAGACUCCUACGGGAGGCAGCAGUGGGGAAUAUUGGACAAUGGGGGCAACCCUGAUCCAGCCAUGCCGCGUGAGUGAUGAAGGCCUUCGGGUUGUAAAGCUCUUUUGGCGGGGACGAUGAUGACGGUACCCGCAGAAUAAGCCCCGGCUAACUUCGUGCCAGCAGCCGCGGUAAGACGAAGGGGGCUAGCGUUGUUCGGAAUUACUGGGCGUAAAGCGAGUGUAGGCGGUUGCCCAAGUCAGGUGUGAAAGCCUUGAGCUCAACUCAAGAAAUGCACUUGGUACUGGGUGGCUAGAGGACCGGAGAGGAUAGUGGAAUUCCCAGUGUAGUGGUGAAAUACGUAGAGAUUGGGAAGAACACCAGUGGCGAAGGCGGCUAUCUGGACGGUUACUGACGCUAAGACUCGAAAGCGUGGGGAGCAAACAGGAUUAGAUACCCUAGUAGUCC
rnacentral:rRNA from 1 species